CAUGGCUUUUAUGAUUGUAAAUCCCUGGGAAAGAGGCAUGGCCUUGGUUCCUGUGAGUCCCAGUAAAGUAGGUGUGGAUUUGUCUCCUGUCAAUCCCGAUGAUGGAGGCAUGGCAUCAGUUCCUGUCAGCCCCAGUGAAGGAGGCAUAACCUGUGAGUCUCUUAGACACAGGAAAGGAGGCGUGGGCUCAGCUCCUGUCAGUCCCAUUGAGGAAAGAGUGGCCUCAACUCCUGUCAAUCCCAGUGAAGAAGGUGUGGCCUCAGCUCCUGUCAAUCCCAGUGAAGAAGGUGUGGCCUCAGCUCCUGUCAAUCCCAGUGAAGAAGGUGUGGCCUCAGCUCCUGUCAGCCCCAGUGAAGAAGGUGUGGCCUCAGCUCCUGUCAAUCCCAGUGAAGAAGGUGUGGCCUCAGCUCCUGUCAGCCCCAGUGAAGAAGGAGUGGUCUCAGCUCCUGUCAGUCCCAUUGAGGAAAGAGUGGCCUCAACUCCUGUCAAUCCCAGUGAA
ensembl:lncRNA